rnacentral:lncRNA from 1 species
GUCCACUCAUCCUAGAAUUAGGAUGCUAAUUAUUUUUGUAGCAUAGUAGGUGGAAGCACUACUUUUAAAAAUCACAUUAGGAUAUCUAAGAUAAUUCAAAAUUUUAAAAUAUUAUUCUUUCUAAUAUCAAUAAAUUUCUUGUAUCAAACCAUAUCAUUUAUCAUAAUUUUUUGACUCAAAGAAUCAACAUUCCUGACUUACUCAAAGUAAUCCAGAUUACCAUGCUUCCGCUGCGCACUC